AUGAUAAAGUACGUAUAAUUUCUUUAUCUUUCAAUAGGAUACAUCCACCGAUAAUAUAUCGGUCCAAUCAAAAGAGCUUUCUUUAGAAGAUGAAUAGUCAGAUGCACCAUAACAUCAAAAAAUGAUGGUGAAAAUUUCUUUUCUAACUUACAAAGAAUGAGCAUGAUAUCCUUUUCAAACUUCUCAAAUAAAUUAAUCUUCAAUUUUCGACAAUAUAGUUCUCGAAAGAACACUCCCAACUCAAUCAAUAUACUUGAAACAUCACCACCC
rnacentral:lncRNA from 1 species